UGAAGGUCACUUUCAGUUAUCGCCAUGCCAUGGUCAAUGAUAAUGACAAAUCAGCAGAGGUCUUCUCAGUAUUUCCACGGUUCCUGGACACACCAGGACUGAUAGAACAGGAUUUCAGACUUAUGUUUGGUGAGCAGACUGCCAACAAUUUCCUGGAGAGGUGGCCUACCACUUUCAAAGCAAAAGUAAUUAAGGAAAGCCAUGGACUGGUCCCCUCCACAGACCUUCUUGAUUUGAUGCGCAACGCUGAGACAUCUACUGAAGUCGAAAAUGGCUGGGACAGUGACAUGUCAACCAUCAUACUGCUGCUACAUCUGCUACCGCCAUCCGCACAGGGACGAAAGAGGCCAGGGAAGAUCUCAGCAUCUCAUGCAGUAGAUCACCUCAUCAAAUUCCAAAAGACGGGAACAAGCGUGCAGCAGCAUCUUGACACCAUAAGUCAAAGCAGUCAGCCCUACCUCCUUGCUCAGGGACCCACAAAAAGCAGCAUUACCUCCUUCUUCAUUGCUAUCGACAAGCAUGCACUUCCAUGCAAAGCAACCAGCGCAGUCGGAGCCCUGGAUGAACUCUUUAAGGCCCACUACGUCUUUUGUACAUCUUACAGUCCUGUGUUGAAUAAUUUCUUCACUUUUUUGCAAACCACCAUUUACAGCAUUGAUGUGGGGGAAACGAAGGAAACGCCAAGAAUCGCAGAGUUGCGAGUGCGAAUGGUGCGUUAAACAAUGAGGUGCUUUCUUUGCAGCAAAGAACUUGGUGAGGCAAAAAAUCUUAUAAAGCACCUCAAAGUUAUACAUGGACUCUGUACAGGAAAGACUCUUCAUCUUAAAUGUGGCGAAGUGGGAUGCUCACGUUUUUUUUAUAGUUUUUCGGGUUUUAGGAAGCAUCUUAACAAGUCCCAUGUGAAUAGUGGUUUUAAUGUUGUUGUUGAAACUGAACCACCACGUUGUCAAAGUGUUCUAAAUAGUGAUGAAAGUCCUGCAGAAGAGCCAUAUGAGGCUGAGGUUGAGUCAGAGCAAGCGUUAUCCUCAGAACAUCUUGUAAAUAGUUGUGCCUCUGUCAUUUCAGAUCUUAAGGCAGCAGGUGUAGCCCAGUCUGUUAUUAAUUCAGUUGUGACCUCUAUGGAGGAUAUUGUGCAGGAUAUACAUGAGCAUGCUAGAGAGUCAGUCAUCCAGGGUGUUUUUCAUGAUCAAAGAGGAACUGAAUCAUGCAAGAAAGUUGAGGGAUGUUUUGACCAAUUAGAGAAUCCAUUCACAGCUCUAAAUUCAGAAUACAAACAAUCAAAAUUUAUGACCAGCAAAUGGGAAACUGUGGAGCCAGUGGAGCUUGUAAUUGGCUCAAGAUUUGACUUGAGGCUCAACAAAAAGACAGGAACAUAUGACCAAGUAGUAGUUAAAGACAAAUUUAUGUAUGUUCCAAUUUUAUCGACAUUAAACUCAAUAUUUAAAAGUGAACAUGCCAGAGAAAUGCUCAAAAGCCCAAAUAUAAGUGAUUCAAAACUCAAAGAUAUUUGUGAUGGCUCUUUCUUCAACACUCAUCCUCUAUUUUCAACAGAGAGACACACUGUACAGAUUCAAAUGUUUUAUGACGAUUUCGAGAUUGCCAACCCCUUGGGGUCCAAGAAGGGAGUUCAUAAAAUGGGUGGUAUUUAUUUUACUUUAAGGAAUUUCUCACCGAAGUGGAAUUCUAUUUUGGCCAAUAUACAUCUUUGUGCCUUGUUUCAUGCUCAGGAUAUAAAGCGUUACGGUUUUAGUGCUAUUUUAGAUCCUAUUGUUUGUGAUCUCAAACAGUUAGAGAGUAAUGGCAUUGAUAUUCCAUUGUAUGGUGGUUGUGUUCGUGGCAGUGUUAUACAGGUGACUGGAGAUAAUUUAGGCCUACAUAGUUUGUUUGGUCUGGUUGAGAGUUUCAGUGCAAGGUAUUGCUGUAGGUUUUGUUUAGCCGAAAAAGAGGACUUCCAAACUGAAUUCUCCGAAGAGUCUCCCAAAAUAGUGUUGCGUACCAAAGAGGCCCACAGUGCUCACUGCCAAGAAAUGGCACAUAGGCCUUCUCUUCCUUAUGUAUUUGGCGUGAAGAGAUCAUGCUUACUAAAUUCACUUACAUAUUUUCACACAACCGAGAACUACUCAGUUGAUGUGAUGCAUGAUCUUUUAGAAGGUGUGGCCCAAUUUGAAUUAAAGCAGCUGUUUUUUUAUUUGAAAGAAAAAAUUACACUGGCAGAACUGAAUUCAAGAAUACUAUGUUUUGAUUAUGGAUUUACAGAGAGAUGUAAUAGGCCAGUGGCUGUGAAUUUAAGUGCAGAGUCUAAUGAUUUGGGACUAAACGCAAUUCAGUCAUGGUGCUUGCUGAGGAAUGUUCCCCUUAUAUUUGGAGAUUUGGUAGCCUCUACAGACCAACACUGGACCCUGCUUUUAUUGUUGUUACAGAUCGUCAACAUUGUUUUCUCGCCCAUUUUAUCUCAAGGCUUAUGCGUGUAUUUGAAACAUUUGAUUGUUGAGCAUCACACACUGUUCAAGGAGGUAUAUCCUCAUAAAAGACUGUUACCAAAACAUCAUUUCCUGAUUCAUUACCCUAGAUGCAUUCAGAAAAUAGGACCUGUACUCCAUAGCUGGUGCAUGCGAUAUGAAGGUAAACACAAUUUUUUCAAGACACAGCUUAAGUCCUUUAAAAAUGUCACCAAAACAUUGGCCAAAAAGCACCAGAAUCAUAUGGCACACAAGUGGCGAUCCUCAACAACCUUCCUUCGCUUGGACAUUGGUCCAGGAAAAUGUGUCUCUUUAAAUAUGAUUAAAGGUGGUUCAGUGAUUGCUAUGCAAAUGAAAAUGUCCAAUUGUGAUAAGGUUAUUAAAGUGACGUGGGCUAAGCACAAUGGAUAUGUAUACCGCCCACACCUGGUCGUUUGUGGUGAAGUUGAAUUUGAAAUGCCACUGUUUUACCAGGUCGAAUCGGUUGUGAUUAUACAUGAGAAACCGGUGCUGCUCACCAUUCCUUUAUUUACUGUAGCUUUUAAUGAACAUUAUUUUGCUUAUGAAGUGACUAAGACAAAAAAAGAAUGUGUUGCCUUUAAUGUUGAUGAUCUGCCUUAUCAAAGGCCUUUUGACCUAAAAAUGUCAUGUGGGGAAAAUGACACAGCAAUGUACAUUGUCCCAUACUGUUAUCUCUAAUCAGGCAAUAAAAGGUGUGAUACAGUA